rnacentral:rRNA from 1 species
CCUACGGGUGGCUGCAGUGGGGAAUUUUGGACAAUGGGGGCAACCCUGAUCCAGCCAUGCCGCGUGCGGGAAGAAGGCCUUCGGGUUGUAAACCGCUUUCGGCCGGAACGAAAUCGCCGGGGAGAACAUCCACGGUGAAUGACGGUACCGGAAGAAGAAGCACCGGCUAACUACGUGCCAGCAGCCGCGGUAAUACGUAGGGUGCGUGCGUUAAUCGGAAUUACUGGGGGCGGAGCGUGCGGAGGGGUUUGAAAUCCCCGGGCUUAACCUGGGAACUGCGUUUGUGACUGGAGGGCUGGAGUGCGGAAGAGGGAGGUGGAAUUCCACGUGUAGCAGUGAAAUGCGUAGAGAUGUGGAGGAACACCGAUGGCGAAGGCAGCCUCCUGGUCUAGCACUGACGCUCAUGCACGAAAGCGUGGGGAGCAAACAGGAUUAGAUACCCUAGUAGUC